ensembl:lncRNA
AGCGAUUCUCUAGUUAGCGAACGCUGCUAGCGAGUUUACACCUUUUCCUUCGGUCGACAAGUUCUCGUGUUCGUGGUUUCAGUCAGAGGGUUGGCGUGAACUCAUUGGUGGGACCUGUGGAAUAUUCAGACUGGAGCCUGAUAGACUGGGGCCUGUUGGUAGCUAGAACACGUUCUUCCUGAAAUCUUCAUCCCCAUCACAGUGGAGGACAGGAAUUUCUGUCAGCUGAAAGAUACCUGUCAUUCUAUGAACUAGGUUCCACAUCUUUUGUAAGGGCGUACCCGGGCCUAAUUUAUUACAGAACGUCUUCCAGCUUUGCUUCUUUGCUUCCUUAAUUACACAUCUGGCCUUUGCCCUAAGCCUCUUAUAUUCAACAGCCCAAUUCUCUAAUAGAUGUUUCCGUAAAUUUUUAUAUGCCCGAUUCCUAUCCCGGA